ensembl:lncRNA
AAUCCAGACAAAACAGAGGUGCUUGCCAUCAAGGAUUCUAAUCUGGGAAUAGAGGUGUAUCAACCAGUUCUGGAUCGGGUUACACUCCCCCUGAAAGACUGUGUUCAUAGUUAUAUAUGUUAUAUAUAUCUUUUAUAGGUCUACAUUUUAAUAUGUGUGUUUUUAGAAUAUUUGCAAUAUUUUUGUGUUUUGACUGUGCUGAGACCCACCUCGAGACAUGAGGAGAGGCAGAUAAAAAUUAAAACUAUUAUUAUAUUAUUAUUAUUACUGGGAAUAAGUAUUUGUGUUUCAAUGUGUAGUUUGAGAACUAGUUAUGCAUUCAAUUUUGUUGAAGCUAAUUCGUUGCAGCAGGUCAACAUUGGGGUAGGACACUAUCUGAGGAACUCAUGGCUCAUGUAUUGCAUUCUACAACAGAGGGAUAAUGAGACAACAAUACACUAAAUAAAUAAAUCUAGAGCUGUAGUGUAACAUCAAUUUAUUUUUUUUCUUUUCUACAGUCAGAAUGUGCAUUUACACUACAGAAUUAACACAGUUUGGCACCACUUUCAUUGUCAUGGCUCAAUGCUGUGGAGUCAUGGACGUAGUCUGCCGAGGCACCAGCACCCUUUGGAUGGCUCUCUCGCAGUUAACUUCUGGCACUGGAAUAAGUCUGAAAAUGCCCUCCUGUUCACUUCACGCUCAUCACCCGAGGUGUGGAAAGCAAGGGCAAGUGCAAGUGGACUGAAAUGUCUCCACUGAGGACUAUAAUUUGAAGAUUAUGUCAAUUUAAGAAGCUUGAUACCCUGAAUAGUAAAAUGGAAAUCCCCCAAUUGACUAUCUCUGCUCAUAAAAAUGAUUUAGAUUGGUCGUUUCUACACAUGCUUUUUGGCUUGACUGUCAGAAUCAAUUAAUGUGAUAAAUAAUACAUUUAAAGUCCACUCCCCCUCUUGCCAACCAAACGUUAGAAUUUUCCAUUCACAAUUGAGAAAAAAAUGCAUCCCAUCAAAUAUUAGUCUUUCAGCCUCGGAGUUUAUGAGCUCUUUAAUAAUAAGAAAGAAGAACUGAUAAGUAGACUAAAAGUCAAGACUUACUGGAACACUCCUUGCUUUAGGCUUAGAUUUCAGAGAAGCCAUUUUGCCCAUUGUAAUCCCAGUGGUCAAAUAUUUGUCAGAGCUUUUGACAGUUUUGGGUUAACCAUGGAAUCCAGCAGCAAAGACAGACACAGCAGUUUAUUCAGUAGAUUGCCAGACAAGAGAUACAAAAGGUUAGCAAAGCGACACCAUCACCUCAUGUAAAGGAGCAUAGACAUUUGGCAUAAGGAGAACCAGAACAUGGGGGCAGGCAGACCAUCAGAAGCAAGUGAAACUGUUGCCAGAUUGGGCCCAGAGCCAAAUAUUUUUGGCUAGGUUUUUCUGUCCUUCUCUAUUAGUCCAGGCUGGAUAAAUUAACAGAAAGUGGAAUAAAGCUGGUGCACUUCUUGAAGUCCCCAGGAAGAAGGGCUUCUGGCAACUCUAUAUCCUACCUCAGUGCAUGUGGAAUUUAACUCCUGUAUCCCUACAUAUAAUAUCCAUUGGUUCCUGGAGUGCUAAAAGCGAGAAAGGAGGGAAAUAGUUAUUGCAGACAUUCCUAGCUCAGCCCUACUAAACUCCCAUUGUAGAUUGCAGUACUUUUACAGGCAUGGGGGAGUGAGAAGGAGCCAAAUAAUUUAUCUAAAGGAGUUCAUUGUUUGAAUGAAGUAAAAUUUCAUAGAUUUUAUUUCAGUUUGAAAACACCACUCAAUGUUUUUCACCCUCUGAUAUAUAUUUGUGAUCCUGGCAAUGGCAGCAAUUGCUGAAGAGAUCUACCUUUUAAAAGGGGUAUUAAAAAAGUACAGGAAGCAUUUCCCCUUACUCUGAACUGACUGUAACAGUCACCAAAUUUCAUUGGCUUCAUUUUGAAUACAAAUCAGAGAGAAGACAAUGCUUCUACCUGACAAUGAUUGCCCCCACCCCAGCCCAUCAUCACUGCAGUUAGAUAUAGGCAGGCCUUGAGUUAUAAACAUCUGACUUAUACAUGACUCAUACUUAAGAAUGGGGGUGAGACAACAAGAAGUGACAGAGAUCUAUCCCCAGGAAGGGAAAUUCACUACUAAGAGAGUUAUCAUGGGGAAAAGGUGUCUCUACUGAAGCUUUCUCACCAAUCCUGGUUUCCACAACAAGCUACAUUUUUCAAAAUCCAGUUAUCACAUAAAUAAAAAGUGCAAUGAAAUCUUCUGAACAGGGGCACAGACAGCAAAACAAAUGCCAAAGGUGUGUUAACCUUUUCCUUGCUAUCCAAAGCUAACACAUAUACAUAUUUGGCUGGUGUUGCAUUUUAAAAAUGUACCUGUUCCGACUUACAAAUUCAACUUAAGAACAAAUUUACACAACCUAUCUUGUUCAUUACUUGGGGACUGCCUGUAAAUGAAACAAGACAGAUUCCAAAAUCAUGACUGUCUUCACUUAGUUUUAGAUUCACAAUUGUUUUCAUCAAAUCAAGCCAAACUUCUUCUGACUGAAAUAUAUGACAACAACAUAAUUAAGGCAAGCAAAUACAUUUACAGAUAGUGCAUACUGUAACAAAGAAACAAUGUAUUUCAGUCAGAUAUAUAUUUUUUUCUUACUGUCCACAGGUGGGAUCCAUCUGGACAAGC